GACGAACGCUGGCGGCGUGCCUAAUACAUGCAAGUAGAACGCACAGUUUAUACCGUAGCUUGCUACACCAUAGACUGUGAGUUGCGAACGGGUUAGUAACGCGUAGGUAACCUGCCUGGUAGCGGGGGAUAACUAUUGGAAACGAUAGCUAAUACCGCAUAAUAUUAAUUAUUGCAUGAUAAUUAAUUGAAAGGUGCAAUUGCACCACUACCAGAUGGACCUGCGUUGUAUUAGCUAGUAGGUGAGGUAACGGCUCACCUAGGCGACGAUACAUAGCCGACCUGAGAGGGUGAUCGGCCACACUGGGACUGAGACACGGCCCAGACUCCUACGGGAGGCAGCAGUAGGGAAUCUUCGGCAAUGGACGAAAGUCUGACCGAGCAACGCCGCGUGAGUGAAGAAGGUUUUCGGAUCGUAAAGCUCUGUUGUAAGAGAAGAACGGGUGUGAGAGUGGAAAGUUCACACUGUGACGGUAUCUUACCAGAAAGGGACGGCUAACUACGUG
rnacentral:rRNA from 1 species